AGAUAAGAGAAUAAAAGCAGGCUGCGCGAGCCAGCACUGGCAACCAGUUGGGGGUCCACUGCCGCAGUGUGGGAGGUUUGUUCUUUCGCUCUUUGCAAUAAAUCUUGUUACUGCUCACCCUGGGUCCACACUGCUUUUGUGAGUUGUAACACUCACUGGGAAGGUCUGCAGCUUCACUCCUCAAGCCCGGGAGACCGCGAGCCCACCGGGAGAAACGAACAACUCUAGACGCGCCGCCUUAAAAGCGGUAACAUUCACUGCGAAGGUCUGCAGCUUUACUCCUGAGCCAGCGAGACCACGAGCCCACCAGAAGGAAGAAACCCCGAAUACGUCUGAACGUCAGAAGGAACAAACUCCAGAAGCGCCACCUCAAGAGCUGUAACACUCACCGCGAGGGUCCGCGGCUUCAGUCUUGAAGUCAGUGAGACCAAGAACCCACCAAUUCGGGACACAAUACCUAUAAUCCCAGUACUUUAGGAGGCCAGGGCAGGCGGAUCAUCUGAGCUCAGGGGUUGGAGAGGAGCCUGAACAACAUACCGAAACCCCGUCUCUACAAAAAAUACAAAAAUUAACCGGUUGUGGUGGCCGGUGCCGGUAGUUCCAGCUAGUGGGGGACUGCGGAGGUGGGAGCUGAAGCGGGAGGAUCGCUUGAGCCUGGAGGUUGAGGCUGCAGUAAACAGGGAUUGCGUCAGGACACUCCAACCUGGGGAACAGAACGAUGCCCUAAAAGGCUGGCUGAGCUGACUGGAGUCCAAUCUCCUGACUCUCAAUCCUCCACCAUGCCGGAAUCCACUUGCAUUUCUGGCAAGAAGGUUGUUUACGCUCAAGGUCUACAGGGAUGGAAGUGGCACCCAGUGAGAGGGCUCUGCCGAUGGAGCUGUGAAGGCGUCGACCUCAUUCUGACGGGCUUGUUGAGACUGGUCAGCGCCUGGGCAAGAGGGCAGCUGGGAUAUGUCUAUGCCAUGUUUGACCCAUGCUAUUGUUUUUUCCUCCCUUUUUACUUUCUAUCUGUACUCCUCUCCUUCUCUUCCACUCCAUUCCCCUGCCCACCUCCACACUGAAAAUCGAGGCCUUGGGAGGAGAGGUCAAGGGAGGAAAGAAUUCUGGAAAGAAUUCUUCCACACUUUAUAACAAGGAGCCCAGGCACUAGUAUUUUCCUCUUGCCAUCGGCGGCCAGCCAUAAAAAGGGUUGAUCCAUGAGUUGUUUCUCCAACUCUUCGAGCAGCUCAGUUCAUGGCACUGCUAUAGUUUAGACUAACCCGCUCAACAUUGUUAGAAACAUUUAGAAAUGUCUCCCCCUUUGCCGCAAUUUCCCUCUCUCUGCCGGUGUCUGCUCUAACAGCUGGAAGAAAUUUCUCCUUCAUCUGCUAUAUUCAGCCUUUCACUAAGCGCCAUCAAUUUUGCCUUUGAAAUUUCUUUUGUACUGGUCUCCUUCUCUCCUUUCCACCGCUAAUCCCGGGGCCUGUCUCUAGCCCUGUGAUUCUGAACUGUUUAAGAACCUCCUGACAGAGCUCCCUGCCUCUGGCUUCUCCACCUUUGAUCCAUUCUGCACAGCCAAGACAGAUUCAUUUUUCUCAAGCUCUGUUUGCAUCUUAGGAGGCCUCAGCUCAAAACCCCUAGGCUCUCUAAUGUCCUUGGCAUUGCCCAGACAGCUUUCACAGCUCCCUCUCACUCUACCUUCUUCCCAGAUCGUGGCUGCUUUUGCCUCCUGUACUGUUGUAACAAAUCACCACGAACUUGGUGGCUUAAAACAACGGAAACUUAUUCUCUUACAGUUCUGUGGCCAAAAAUCCACACUGAGUCUUAUAGGCCUAGAUCAAGGUGGCAGCAGGGCUGUGAUUCCUUGGGAGGCUCCCAGGGAGAAUUCUCUUUCCUGGCCUCUUCCAGCUUCUCAGGGCUGCAGGCAUUUCUUGGCUUGUGGCCACAUCACUCCAGUCUCUGCCUCAGUGGUCAUAUUGCCUUUUCUUCUCCCUGUAGUGAAAUCUUCCCCUGCUUCCCUCUUAUAAGAUACUUAUAAUUACAUUAGGAGCCCAUCUGGAUAAUCCAGGGUAAUCUCCCCAUCUCAGAAGCCUUAACUUAAUCACAUCUGAAAAAUCCCUUUUCCCAUGUAAAGUAGUAGUUAUAGGCUCCAUGAAAGGGAUGGGGACAUGGAUCUUUGGGGGGACCGUUAUUCAGCCUCUCAUCAUGGCCAGCUUAAUCCUUCCACUUCCCUACUCGCUACUACAACAAGUAUCAGUUGAGUAUCUACUAUGUGCUAGGCACUGUUUUAGGCAAUAGGAAUCAUAAUGACUAAUGAGCCUUUUCGGAUUCAGUCUCCUGCAGGGUGAACUAUCCCUUUCCUGAGCUCUUUACCUCUUAGAGCUUGGUAUCAUUACAUAGCAUGAUCAUCACAUACUAUGUAUGUCUGUGUGUUUGACAUGUGGUUCAUAGCUGGUGAACGGUGCUCUUCGUUUCUAUAGGCAGGUAGGAUGGACGUGCUUCGUAGGGCCUUUCUCCGCAAGCCCUGACAUACACAGCACAGAGAUGGGACAGCCCCCUACUACAUCCUGCCAGAUGUUGCUGGCUUAUUUUAAAAUUAGAAACGCCUAUACAGUACCAUAAACCAGUGAUGCCAACUGGUUUAUACUCCAUAAGUUUGUACUCUUGGAAGUGCUAGGGUUGGUUGCAGCCUAAUAUUUAGGAAGAGUUUUGAAAGGCACUGUGACUUGUAGCUUCACACCUGUCUUCUUAAAAGCCUGGCCCUUUCCCGAUUUCAGGUUGACAUGUGCCUCCUGCAGGCACUGACACUGAGGCCUUACCGGUGACUGUUUCCUUAUUGGUAAGUGUGUUGCUUUCCUAGGUGGAAACUCUCUGAGGAAAAAGAUCACGUUACACGCACACAAGCACACACAUACACAUCUUUGUAACUCUCUGGCCCCCCAUUGGAUCUAGCAAAGAUAACUUGGAUGCUAGAUAUUUGCAUACCAGCCAGUGUUGUCCAGCACUUUCGUUCAACUCUUUGACAACUAUCGUCACAUUCCUAUACUGCUUGUGCUAUCAUUUGAUUAAUGUUUGUAUUUAAUUUGUCUCAACUUUUAGCUUGUGUAAACUUAUUUUAAAAGGAAGCAUUUGCAUCUCUACCAUAAAUAGAAGACCAGAGUCAUUUAUCAUAAAUAAAGCAUAACUGUAAAAAUAAAGAUACUGAAAAUGAAAUAAUGUUAUUCCCCUAAGAAUUAAACAAUAAAAUAUUGAGUAAUAAAAUUGA
rnacentral:lncRNA from 1 species